AGUGAACGCUGGCGGUAGGCCUAACACAUGCAAGUCGAACGGCAGCACAGUAAGAGCUUGCUCUUACGGGUGGCGAGUGGCGGACGGGUGAGGAAUACAUCGGAAUCUACUUUUUCGUGGGGGAUAACGUAGGGAAACUUACGCUAAUACCGCAUACGACCUACGGGUGAAAGCAGGGGAUCUUCGGACCUUGCGCGAUUGAAUGAGCCGAUGUCGGAUUAGCUAGUUGGCGGGGUAAAGGCCCACCAAGGCGACGAUCCGUAGCUGGUCUGAGAGGAUGAUCAGCCACACUGGAACUGAGACACGGUCCAGACUCCUACGGGAGGCAGCAGUGGGGAAUAGUGGACAAUGGGCGCAAGCCUGAUCCAGCCAUACGCGUGGGUGAAGAAGGCCUUCGGGUUGUAAAGCCCUUUUGUUGGGAAAGAAAAGCAGCAGGUUAAUACCCCGCUGUUCUGACGGUACCCAAAGAAUAAGCACCGGCUAACUUCGUG
rnacentral:rRNA from 1 species